UACAGAGGAGCCAAGCGUUGUCCGGAUUGACUGGGCGUAAAGCGCACGCAGGCGGACGCGCGCGUGGGGUGUGAAAUCUGGCCGCUUAACGGCCAGGCGCCAUCCCAUACGGCGCGUCUGGAGUGAUGCAGAGGUCGGUGGAAUUGCCGGUGUAGUGGUGAAAUGCGUAGAGAUCCGGAGGAACACCAGAGGCGAAGGCGGCCGACUGGACCUGACCUGACGCUGAGGCGCGAAGGCGUGGGGAGCGAACGGG
rnacentral:rRNA from 1 species